AUGCAUGCAGUAGCUCUGUUGCUACACUUCCUCUUCCCUUAUUGAUGGGAUUGUGGAAGAGAAAAUGGAAGCAUGCUAGAAAAAAGCUCCUGGAGUCAACAGGGCCACCAGUCUUUCAAGAACAGACUGGAUUGGUAGUAUAACACUCCGACACUA
ensembl:snoRNA